rnacentral:tRNA from 1 species
GCCUGGCUGGCUCAGUCAGUAGAGCAUGUGACUCUUAAUCUCAGAGUCAUGAGUUCAAGCUCUAAGUUAGGCA